rnacentral:pre_miRNA from 1 species
AUGAGAUGAAAUCAGCAUUUGGACAUGCGAUUUAACUCUGAUCUCAUCUCAUAA